ensembl:misc_RNA Metazoa_SRP Metazoan signal recognition particle RNA
GCCGGGCGUGGUGGCUCAUGCCUGUAAUCCAAGCACUUUGGAGGCCAAGGAGAGUGGAUCACUUGAGGUCGGGAGUUCAAGACCAGCCUGACCAACAUGGUGAAACCCCAUCUUAAAAAAAUAAUAAAAUAAAAAAAAAUAUGGGCAGUUCAGCUACCUGGGAGGCUGAGGUGGGAGGAUAGCUUGAGCCCAGGAGUUCUGGGCUGUAGUGCGCUGUGCUGAUCGGGUGUCCGCACUAAAUUCAGUAUCAAUGUGAUGACCUCCCAGAAGCGAAGGACCAACAGGUUGCCUAAGGAGGUCGGAAACGCAGUAGGUCAGAACUCCCGUGCUGAUCAGUAGAGGGAUGGUGCCCGUGAAUAGCCACAGCCUGGGCAAUAUAUCGAGACCCUGUCUCAA